rnacentral:lncRNA from 1 species
AUGCACUGGUCAUUGCAAACACCCUCACCCAACAACACAAGAGAAGACUCUACACAUGGACAUCAACAGAUGGUCAACACCGAAAUCAGAUUGAUUAUAUUCUUUGCAGCCAAAGAUGGACAAGUUCUAUACAGUCAGCAAAAACAAGACCAGGAGCUGACUGUGGCUUCACUCUGCCAUAAGGGUGGGGUCAUCUGCAUAUCUGAGGUGAUUGAUAUUUCUCCCUGCAAUCUUGAUUCCAGCUUGUGCUUCUUCCAGCCCAGCAUUUCUCAUGAUGUACUCUGCAUAUAA